UCUUGGUCAUUUAGAGGAAGUAAAAGUCGUAACAAGGUUUCCGUAGGUGAACCUGCGGAAGGAUCAUUACCGAGUGAGGGCCCUUUGGGUCCAACCUCCCACCCGUGUUUAUUUACCUUGUUGCUUCGGCGGGCCCGCCUUAACUGGCCGCCGGGGGGCUUACGCCCCCGGGCCCGCGCCCGCCGAAGACACCCUCGAACUCUGUCUGAAGAUUGUAGUCUGAGUGAAAAUAUAAAUUAUUUAAAACUUUCAACAACGGAUCUCUUGGUUCCGGCAUCGAUGAAGAACGCAGCGAAAUGCGAUACGUAAUGUGAAUUGCAAAUUCAGUGAAUCAUCGAGUCUUUGAACGCACAUUGCGCCCCCUGGUAUUCCGGGGGGCAUGCCUGUCCGAGCGUCAUUGCUGCCCUCAAGCCCGGCUUGUGUGUUGGGCCCCGUCCUCCGAUUCCGGGGGACGGGCCCGAAAGGCAGCGGCGGCACCGCGUCCGGUCCUCGAGCGUAUGGGGCUUUGUCACCCGCUCUGUAGGCCCGGCCGGCGCUUGCCGAUCAACCCAAAUUUUUAUCCAGGUUGACCUCGGAUCAGGUAGGGAUACCCGCUGAACUUAAGCAUAUCAAUAAGCGGGAGGA
rnacentral:rRNA from 1 species